CAAUAGCGUAUAUUAAAGUUGUUGCGGUUAAAAAGCUCGUAGUUGGAUUUCUGCCGAGGACGACCGGUCCGCCCUCUGGGUGAGUAUCUGGUUCGGCCUGGGCAUCUUCUUGGAGAACGUAUCUGCACUUGACUGUGUGGUGCGGUAUCCAGGACUUUUACUUUUGAAGGAAAUUAGAGUGUUUACAAGCAGGCAUACGCCUUGAAUACAUUAGCAUGGAAUAAUAAGAUAGGACCUCGGUUCUAUUUUGUUGGUUUCUAGAUCUGAGGUAAUGAUUAAUAGGGAGUAGUUGGGGGUCAUUUCGUAUUUAACUGUCAGAGGUGAAAUUCUUGGUAUUUGUUAAAGACGGACUACUGCGAAAGCAUUUGCCAAGGAUGUUUUCAUUGAUCAAGAACG
rnacentral:rRNA from 1 species